GUGCCUUAAGAGCAUUCGGUGGAUGCCUUGGCAUCGAGAGGCGAUGAAGGACGUGGUACGCUGCGAAAAGUCACGGGGAGGUGCGAACAACCUUUGAUCCGUGAAUGUCCGAAUGGGGAAACCCACCCGUUAAGGGUACCCGCAAGGGAGCGAACCGGGGGAAGUGAAACAUCUCAGUACCCCGAGGAAAAGAAAUCAACCGAGAUUCCGCCAGUAGUGGCGAGCGAACGCGGACCAGGCCGUGCAGUGACACAAACAGAACUGACUGGAACGUCAGGCCGUAGAGGGUGACAGCCCCGUAUGUGUAGAAUGAUCUGCCGUUCGAGUAGGGCGGGACACGUGAAAUCCUGUCUGAACAUGGGGGGACCACCCUCCAAGCCUAAAUACUCCUCGAUGACCGAUAGUGAACCAGUACCGUGAGGGAAAGGCGAAAAGAACCCCUGUGAGGGGAGUGAAAUAGAUCCUGAAACCGCAUGCAUACAAGCAGUGGGAGCCGACUUGUUCGGUGACUGCGUACCUUUUGUAUAAUGGGUCAGCGACUUACAUUCAGUAGCGAGGUUAACCGCAUAGGGGAGCCGUAGAGAAAUCGAGUCUUAAUAGGGCGUUUAGUUGCUGGGUGUAGACCCGAAACCGGG
rnacentral:rRNA from 1 species